AAUUUAUAUCUUUAUUUUUUUAGGUUUCUGUUCUAUCAUUCUAACCAUCAUAUUUAUGAUUCUUCUAGAUAUAUCUUACACUUCUAUCUUGAAACCCUAACCAAAUUUAACCUUAAUGGUUGCCAGCACCAUUAUUAAAGGGAAGAUAUGCCGACACUUCUGUCAAAUUGCACGGGCAUCCACUGCUGAGGAAUAAAUUCUGUCGAGACAUUAGCUUCAUUAGAGCCUAUGCUUUUGCAUGUUAGGCGGAAAGUAAACCACUAGACACGAUGCAGCAAAUGCAUGGAACUUAUCAAAAAAGGCGAUUCUUCAAUGGUGCUCUUGAUAUCUAUCUUCUUAUUGAAAAACUAAUCAUGAUGCUUCCAAGCAAUGUGUAUCUGCAGGCUUGGCACAGGGGACCAGACAACAUAUAUCUUCAACUAUUCUACAGGUGUUUAAGGAUGCUCAAGAACAAUUUUGCAACUGCACGUUUUCUCGAUGAUGACACAUAUGAAGCAUUUCUGUUGCCCUAAUUCUUUGAUGAUGUCCCACUACCAACCCAAUCUGGCUGGAUAAGAAUUCUGUGUCAGCCAAAAUCUUUAUGAGCUGGUUAGCACAAGACUUCUGUUGGCUUGCAAUCUUUAACUAGGAACAAGAAGCCAAAAGAAAUGAAGUGAAUCAACUCUCCUUCUAAGAAGUAGCAAGUGUAAUUAUUACCUAUCAAGCAAGGUAAACAGACGAGCAUGUCAUUUUAGUUGAUUUACUCCAGCAGUUAUAAGAUAGAAAACAGAUUUUAAGGUUAACAAGGUGAGAGGCAUAUCCAGGGCAGGAGAGGCGUUUAAAAAUAAUUCUUGAACUAUUAUACCGAAAUUACACACCUCCCAUGCAAUCAUUGCUGAAAAGACACAAUCUAGUCAUCAUCUUUAUCACUAUCAUAUUCAAUGCAUUACAAUCAAGAAGAGAAUCCCAUCCUAGUAGGAGAUGACUAGAUCUGACCACUAAUGUCACACUACUUUCUCUGAUCCGUAUGCAUCACAUGUUUCAUGGACAUUUUCAACUCCACCAAACAACUAUGGAGCAUCAGGCCAUCACGGAAGUAAAUGCUUUAUAUACAUUUUUCAUACUAUAAGAUAGCUCAUGACAAAAGAAUAAAAGAAUCAGAAUGUAUGGAAUAACUAAAGGCUUAGCUCCCUUGAAAGAAGAGAAAAACCUUCAUUGUAACUGUUCCUGAUUCCUGUUAAUUUCUGUGGAAUGACUAAGCUUUCCAUUCUUCUUGUCAUACUCCUGUUUCAGCUCUUCCAAACGUCUGGACACCUGAUAACGAAUCCACUCCUUUUUCAUGAAUAAUGAAUAAAGUUUUACUUCAAAAACUAAGCCGGUUCAAUAUGCAGGAACGCUAACACAUAUUAAUUACAUUGCUAGGGGUGUGUCUAAGCAUAAUUUAAGCAACUACCCAAAAUACAGCCAAAUUGCUCGAAUAUCCAACAACAUUAUAAAAUGUGCACACACAGACAUGAUACGUAUGGCUCCCCUUAUAAAUCAUCAAAAAUACAAUAUGGUUCCGCUUAUAUUUAUGGCUCCAAAUAUUAAUAAUUCUCACCGAUUCAUGAUUUUAGGAGGAACCAUAUUUUUUCUCGGGGUUAUAUUUCAUAUUUUUCACUAUUCUGUGUCAAGAAUACAAAACAAAACAUACACAGGAAAAGUGGUCGUAUCAAAUCAACCAAAACAGACCUAAGAAUAUCAGAAUUUUUGGCAGCUUAAACAGAGAUUGCUAGUGAAUGACAGCAAACUUUUAUUAAAUAUCACCGUAAAAUACAACAUGUUUACUGGCUCAAAAGAUUAAAAUCCAAAGAUCAUCAUAGAAGCAUAAGACUGUCUAUAAUUAUAAUUUGAAUAAACUGACACAACAUACAAAAAAUGGAUGGAGAUAACCAGAGCAACCAUGAUAUAUAAUAAGUGUGAUAUGAUGGUAGAAUGUAGAGUUCAAAUAAAACUCAAAUUUUUGCUUUUGCUUAAACACACACCAGCCACACAGAGAGAAAGAGAGAACCUUGAUGGAGUUAGCCAUAGGCAGUACUGUAUCUGGAUCCAUUGCACCCUCAGGGAAAUUACGCAAAGCAUGUACAAGCUUCUCAAAGGGCAAUUUGACCUGAUAACAAAAAGAAAACCAAUUAUAUGCCAGGGAUGUGCGGCUAUUUCUUUCAGAGUAGACAAAAAUCUCGGAUCCUCACCAAGUCAUCAUGGCAAUAUUUUAGCAGUGCCAGACCCACUUUGAAAACAAUUUUUACACCCUGGCAAAGAAGAAAUUGCAGAGACAUAUUAACACCCAGACCAUAUGUAAUGAUCCUUCCUAGAAAAACCAUAAAAAAUGAUUAAUAACUGACCUCGUAAAGGAAGACAUCCCAAAUCCGAAGGGCCAAGUGGAAUGGAAAAGAGUAUGAGAAAACAGUUAUAAACCACUGGCUUGCGUACAUGCUAGGAUUUAUUAUUUCUUGGGUGAAAUGCUCUCCCAGUUUCGGCAUAUGCUCCUUCAUCAAGCAGUCAAACUGAAAGAGAUAUUGUUGUACAAGAGGCAGACCCACCUGACACAAGUAUAAAAUAUAACUUCUCACACGAUGAAAGUGUUUUCAAAGCCCAAGAAGAGUGGAUGAGGUGCUGUUCCCUCAGACUCCAGUUCAAAAUAGUAAAAGAGGCUACAGGUGGUUCAUAUGCUCAUAUCAUACCAAUAAAUGGUUGGUGGGGUUUUGAGACGGUAAUAAAUCUUGGCAGUUUACUGACCAUUACAUUCCUUUUUCUCUCUCAAGUAUGAAGCAGCUCAUUUACAUGAAGCAUGCAGUGAACCUACCAUUGAACGUAAAAAGAUCAAUCUAACUCUAAGAAAGCUUUAAGGAGCCACAAAACUCAGAAUAGGAUGCCACCAUAAGUAGGUGGAAAAAGAUUCUCUCACUUUUUGGUAUCACAUGAAAUAAACAAAUUUCAAAUGGUCAUGAUACUGUGGAUGACUAGUGGAUUCAUAAUUUUAGUAACUACAGAAAACUUGUCUCCACAAAACGUAAUUCAAAACUAAUAGACUAUUUUUUUCCUUAACAAGGAGUAUGGAAUCAAAGUUAAAACUCCAUAGUGGCUGGCCUUUUCCUAAGUUUGAGGAAGCGGUAAGCCACCCCUCUAGGUUAUGGUAUUUGAAAUUGUAAUGUAGAUAAAUAUGCAUCUUGUAAUUCUGAACUUGGCUAAACAAAUUAUCAAGAAGCGGUCCCAGCUCCUUAUCAAGGCAUUCCAAGUGUAAGUGUGCACGAGUGGUGUGCGUGGGAGAGAAACAGAGGAAAUUCAAGCCUGAUUUCAUCAGCAGAGGGCAUCCUUCAAUUUUUUUUAACGCUAACAGAGGAUAUAAUUCUAUAAGCUACUAUUAAGUGAAAAGUUGCAAGUGACACCACCAUUAUAUGGUGUAUGUAUUGUCAAGGAAGUUGAUGGAUGAUAACGCUUCCUUUCAGCACUCUCCCUGAAACACCAAGCCACAUGAGAACUUGUUGAGAUGUACAAAUGCAAAUCUUAUCGCAUCGUGUUGCUUUAUCUCGCCCAGUUUGUGCUGACUUGAUAGUGCUCUAUAUCUAUGAUUGUAGGGAAUUAGCAUCUCACAGCCAAUAAUCUAAGCUAACCACAACUUUACAAAUGUGAACAAGAAGCUCUUUGUAUAAAUGAAUUACCUGAUAUAAUCCCUCCAUUGGAGCAUGGACCGCUCCUUUCAGCAAUGCAACCAACAACCAAAAAGCAUCCUCUUCACUCAUAUAAAGAAGUAGUAAACCAGCUAAAAAUCCCAUCCCCUGCAUUUUUUAACAAUUGCACUUUCAUUCUCCAGCCAGUGAAUUAAGUAAAUUUAAGAUCCAUAAACCACACAAGUCUCAGACCUGAACAUAUCCAACAUCUCUAUCAUACACAGAGUAAGCCUUCAAAACAUUGUACAGCGACCUUUGACCAGGACCAUGUCUCUGCUGGAAGAAAACAUGCGAUGGGAAGGUCCGAGAAAUAUCUCUAAUUAUAUCCAGCUCCGAUGCUGAUGUCUCAUAUAUAACUAGUUGCUGCAGUAAAUAUAUAGUUUCAUCAUUAUGACACAAACUAAUCUAUGCGCGGCUAUGUGCACAUGCAAGCAGAGGGAAAAGAGCAUGAAAAGCUAAAAUUAACAUCAGAAACCAAGAACUGUGCAUUCAUUUAUUCUUUUUAGGAUAUAAUUCCCCAGCCACUUAAGAUCUUUUCACAUAUAAUGUACUGGUUAUGUAGUAGUAAAUUUCUCCAAGAAUAAAUCCCAAGUCAAUACUUGUAAAAACUCUUAGCACGUCAACAGUGAAAACAAUCACUCCUGUGUUUCUCUCAUAUGAAGGCACAUCACAAACACACAUCAGAAGACAGAGCCUUAUUUGGUCUCUUACGUGCAAAAACUCAUUAGUGUCUACCCUAUUAAGGUGCCCUAAACAAAAGUUUUAUCUCAUAAAGCAAUUUAUCCUUCCAAAUUUGGUUCAAAGCGAGUAAGGAUAAUAGCAUUGGGGUAUUAGAAAGGAUUAGCAUAAGAGCUUCUCAAAACCCUCAAGAGGUCUAAAACCCUCUUAGCUACCCUGAUGGAAAACUAAAAUUGUCAAAAAUAGGUAAAGAAGAACGAAAUCCUUUGUCUAGCUUAGAUUCCUUACAAAGAACAAAAGAAAGAAAAGCACUGAAGGACACAUGAUUGGAUGCCAGUAAGGGCUAUAGAAAAGAAAUAUCCCUUCUCCACGUCUUCUAAGAAGAAUAUGAUAUGUUUUACUUUACCGAUUGUACUAGCAAAAUGAUCUACAGAUAUUUUUGGAAUAAAGCUUCAUUGUAUGUAAUCUGCAAUAAUUUCAGCACCGAUCCAUUAAUUUUUAUGCGAGAGUUGUAGAGCCCUUGUCAGAGCCAAAAAUUUCAUACAUGUAUAUACCAAAGCAGCUCCCUGGAUAAUGUCCAUAUGUACUGUUCCUACAGAUACCAUGUUAUCCCCUUCUGCUUUCAAUUUCAACUCCAGAACAAAUCACCAUUUAUCUAUGUACAAAAAAACCUUAAAUUUCCAGCAGUAGCCAUGUACAUUGAUCAAACAAUUGCCCUGAAUCUAAAUUAUAAGGCAGUCACACAUCACUACAAGGCAAUGCUAUUUGAAUGUUAAAUGUCUUUACAAAAAGAAAAAAAAAAUAUGUGAGAUAAUGUGUACAAACUAAACAAGCAACGUAGUAUAUGUCGAUGCACACUUUAUUUUUUCAUCUUCUUACAUACAAAUUUAACAUUAAUAAGCAUGGCAAGACACAAUUGCUCAUCAAGUUUUCCUAGCUAAUCCCUUCCCUGACAUGCUACAUAGCUUCCCUAGGGAAGGGGAUUAUAGAGACAUAACUGUCAAGUAGAUGGGAAAUAUAGGCAUUUUUUUACGAUCUUUCUUAAGGGAAAAGGCCCAUGGUGCUUAAAUGUCUAUAAUGAAUGUUCUUGAAAUUGGAGAUUGCUAAAGUUCAGAAAUUUAAUUCAGGACUAUAUAGAGCAUUCAGUAGGCAAUGGAAAGAAUUAUACAUCUCUGGUGGGACUCUUGGCAUCCUCAUGGACCCUUGGUCAAACAAUAUGGUCAGAGGAUCAUUUUUUAAUCUGGACCGCCUUCUAUAGCAAGGCUUUUACAGGUGAUAAACAGCAAUGAAAGUAAAUGGCUAGCUCAGAUUCCAUGGAAGCGCCAUUCAAUGUGCUAUUUGUGGCUUUCUCUUCCCUUAUCCUUUGCAAAGCGAUGGUGUUAUAUGGAAACUCACUAAUGAUGGGCAAUUCUCUACUAAGAGUGCUUGGGAGUUGAUCAAGAAAAAAUGAAGCGGAGUGGACAGGUUUAAGUUGAUUUGAGGGCCUAUAUGUAUUCCAAGGCACAGCUUUAUUUUCUGGCUAGCUAUUCUGGACAGGUUAACUAUAAAGAUAAGGCACAUCAAAAUGGACAGGGUCAUGGCUUCAGUUUCCGUGUUAAGCAGAGGAUGAUGAAUACAGAAAUCACCUAUUCCUCACUUGUGUGUUCUCUAAAAGAGUCUGGCAGCCAAUUCUCCAAAUUUGUGGGAAUAAUAGGGUCGUUUCUGUUUGGAACUCUGAGUUGUACUUGGCAAAAAUCUUUAUUCAGAAAAGUCUUUUCAAUCUAUUGUUAUGAGGCUUCAUUGGUGUUUUUUUUCUACUGUAUUUGGAAGGAAAAGAACCAAAAGAUUCAUAAUACUGUUGCAGUAGAUGAACGUAGCACUGUAAAGAACAUUGUUCAGACAGUCCAGAUAAGGCUUCAAGAUACUAAGAUUUUGCAGGAAGCAACUAGUAACCCAAACAUUUCCAGAUUUUGUGACUUCAGGAAUUUUUUUAAGAUAAAUUUUCUUUCUUAUUUAGAUGUAAAUAACUCUGGUAAACCGGGAAAUUUCCGGUUUUUGAUCUAUGAAAUUCACCAUUCAUAUAAAAAAAUAAAAAAUUCUUAAGGCCUUUCUGCCCAAGCAAAGUUCUGAAAUUGAUACAUCUAAAUCAUCCGGAUGAGUAUAUCAGGCCAUUUCAAACUAAGCCCUAGAAUUUUAGGCACUGCCACCAUCAAAUGCUCUUUUUAGCAUACCGAUAUACCAUCCACUAAAAGAGAGCCAAAGUUGAUUUUAAUCCUCUGAAUCAGAUAUACUGACUAAUUGUUGAAAACAUUAAGAUGGAAAACAAAUGCAUGAUCUAAUCAAUCAACAUGGACUUUGAUUUUAAAUUUUAUUAUCUGAUAGCUUUAAAUCUUGUGCCUUUAACACCUACGUGUUGAAGUGAACAAACCAAUGUGCAAAAUAUUCAGAAAAAGGAAGAAGUGAGGGAGUCCGGUAACAUCUGAAGAACUAAACAUGAAUGAUUUUAAGGCUCAAAGAUAAUAUGAGCAAAGCCACUACAUAUUACAAAUAGAAUCUCAUUACCAAAAUGAUAAGCAAAAGAUCUCAGGUUAUAUAUCUCAAUCAAGACAAGUGAAGGAGUACCUCAUAAACCCCAGGGUUCAUCAGCAAAAGGUCUCGACUUCCGGAGAUCAACUGCCAAACAAGACCCCUUAAACAGUCAGGGAUUCCUUUCCUUAUGCGCCUCUUAACAACAUUAGGUUUUCUUCGAACAUAAUGCUUCCAAUCACUCCCUCCAACCCCAAUCAUCUUCCUCCAUUUUCUUACCCUUCUUUCCUCCCUGAAAAUUGUUUAUGUCCACAAUCACUAAUCAAGAUUAUUAUCUAUUAGUAUGCAAGGAAGAUCCAUCAAUGAGCCUUUGGCAUUAACUCAUUUGGAAUACUGGAAGUGACCUCCUGAAGAAACACCAUACCUCUCAAAUUCAUAAGCUGACCUUCCUUUGGUUAAACCAUGUGGUGAAUUAUUAACCUCUUGCUUCACAAAGCCAAACCUAUCCAGUGGUCUUGGUGAAGGAGGCGGUCCUGGUUCAUAUUCAUCUAUUUUUUUCUUCUCCAUGCUACUAUUUGAAAGAAACUUUAGUAUGCCACAAGGCAGAGGGCCUAACUCUCCCUGACAUGGCAAUCCACUAACCAAUCUCAAAUCACCUGCAAAACCAAAAUUGAAUUAGCUGAAAAUCAUACAACUAAUACUGUUAGUUAUUACACAUUGAACACAUAAAAAAAAUGAAAAUAAAAAGGAAUCAAACCUCAUUCUUAACUGGAGUGUUAGUAAACCAUGAGAGUAUCAGAUUAACCAAAACAUUCUAAACAUGCAAGUAACCGUUCUGCUUAGUUAAAGAAAAUGAAAACAAGUAUAGUAAUUUUAGAGUUAAUUUCAAGUAUAUAGGUAUACAAGAAAGUUUCAUAACUGGUGAAGAUACCUAAUUAGAAGUAAACAUAUCCAAGCACAAUGACGGCAACUAAUCUCGUUCAAUAAAACUGAAGACACGGCAGCAGCAUAGCUGUUUAGAAAUGACAAGAACAAUAACGAGCAUAAACUAAAGCAAAGGAAACCACCUUGAAAAGAAGCAUGGCAAUGGAUAACAGCUACAAGUAUAGAUGAGCAGAUAAGUUAAAUGCAAGAAAAAAAACCAAAUAAGGAGAGUUUAUCAAUGCUAAACUGAACAUGUACAGUUCAUAAUACUAUACACUAAACAACAAACAAUGGAGCUUUCUCUCAAGCCUAAAUGAAUUCAAACACAACUUCUACCAGCCAAAAAAAAAUCAGCCAACAGGAUCUCAAAUUCCCGCAACAGUGAAUGUAUCUAAAAGAGAACUCGCAGACAAGAAAAAAAGAAAGCACUGAACUUGAUCAUGACAAUAUGAACCAAUAAGGCUGAAAAAUAAAACCCAUAAAUCUUUUUCAUUGACAUCAAAUUGGUUAAUCUCAAAAACGUGAAUUUAUCACUACAUUAAGCCAACACAAACCUUGGUUUUUAAUGCUUUUUUAGCCUGGAAAUGAUUAGCCUACCUCCCCCUCCUCCUCCUGCUGUUCAAUCUAUCAAUAAUAUAUCUCCAGAUAUUUUGUAUAAUUGAGAGAGAGAAAAGUGGAUAUAUAUUGGACAAGACUGGUACGUUUUGCAAGCCAAUUGGAGCCUGAGGCGUGUGUUGUUGCAAUAAAAACUGCACUAACAGUGGAACCGACAAUGACAGGCAAGAUUAUAUCGAAAGGAAGACAAAAAAACACGACGUGUCGUUUAUGUUUGUUAUUUUCCGAGUUGAGGCUUUAGCGUAUUAAAACGGCAGCACAUCGCAUAGACAAAGGCCAAGCGUGAAGAAACAAGCAGCAGCGAUAAGGUAAUCGCAGAAAAAACAUAGAAUAAGGUAGCCUUUGUUUACUCUUCAAGAUGGAAGAAAUAGAAAUAACAGACAAAAGAAAAAUAAGAUAAAAUUUUGUUCGGUAAUAAAGUAUAAAAUAAAAUAAUUAUUUUUAUAUCUCAUUUGGUUAUAGUAUAAUAAAAUAUGAAAAAAUUUAUUUUAUUCUUCAUAUAUAUUAUUAUUAAACUUAUAUAUUAUUUUUUUUACUUUAUUUUAUAUUAUAUAGCUAAGACUAACUUAAUGGGUUGACUUGAGGCUUAGAUUAAUUCGAGUUAAAAAAAAAUAGAGAAAUGAUUGACUCGACCUGACCCUGUCAAAAACUUAGGUUAACUCAAGAUAAAACACGAGUCAUAAACUCAUUGACAUUUUUGAAAAAUAGAUUUUAAAUUUUUUUAGAUCAUUCAAGGUAACCCUCUCGACCCGUGACUUGAACCUUGUCUCAAGUCGGCUUCCGAUUCUGGUUUUAAAACUAUUAUAAUAACCACUUUUAUAUAUAUGAUGACUCGGGUCAACCUGUGUUGACCCUCUCGACUUGUGACUUGGGUCUUGCCUUGGAUUUGACCCCUGAAUUAAGUUUUUAAAUUAUGAUAAUAAUCAUUUUUAUUUUAUGUUGAUCCAAGUCAACCUGGGUCGACCCUCCUGACACGUGACCUGAGCCUUACCCCGUGUCGAUUCUCAAGUUGAGCUUUAAAAUUAUGAUAAUAAUCAUUUUGUCCUUAUACUGACCCAAAUCAACAGUCAAUCUCACUCGUAAUUCAGGCUUUGCCUUAGAUCGACCCUCAAAUUAGGUUUAGAAACUAUAAUAAUGACUAUUUUUAUUCUUAUGUUGACUCGGGUCAACCUAACAUGUGACUCAGGCCUCGAUUAGUGACUCGGACUUUGCUCUGAAUCAACUCCUAAGUUGGUUUUUAAAACUAUGAUAAUAACCAUUUACAUGUCUUAUUUGAACAAUUUUGAAAUUAAGAGUUUUUUACAGAGAUAUUUUAGGAACAAAAAUAAUAAAUAUUGUCUCUGGAUAUUGUCACGUCUAUAUCUCUUGUUUUGAAAAUACAAAAAUUCAUUCCAAAAUUUCUCAUAAACGAUUUAUUUUUAUUUUUAUGUCUUUGUUUUUGUUUUUUUAACGAAAUAUAUUUCUGUCUCCACUGUCUCCGUCCCUUCUACCUCAGGACAAUAACCAAAUAUUAUCUUAAAUAACAUUUCGGUAUUAUCCUAAAAUAGAAAAGAUAAAAACAGUAAAAAUAGAAAUGUGUUUGGUUAAAGAAACAAAGGUAUUAAAAACUAAUUUUUAUACUUCUAUAACAAGAGGUACAUUUGAGACAUGUCUCAAAAAAUAAUAUUUACUAUUUUUUUAAAAUCCAACUCAGUGGUCGAUUCGGGGCAUGACUCGGGUCUCGAGUCGAGAGGGUCAACCCAGGUUGACCUGAGUUAAUGUAAGAAUAAAAUUUAUUAUUAUUAUAUUUUUAAAAUCUAACUUGGAGGUCAACUCGGGGCAAGACUCAGAUCACGAGUUGGAUUAACCAUUGAUCGAGGUCAAUAUGAGGAUAAAAGUGGUUAUUAUUAUAGUUUUAAAACUCGACUCAAUGAUCGACACUAGGGAAGGCCUGAGUUAUGGGUUGAAAGGGUCAACUUGGAUUGACUGGGUCAACAUAAGGACCAAAAGUAAUUAUUAUUAUAUUUUUAAAACUCAACUCGGUGGUCGAUUAGAGGGCAAUGCCUGGAUCACAAGUUGGGAGGGUCAACUUAGGUUGAUUUGAGUCAAUGUAUGGACAAAAAAUAUUAUUAUUAUAAUCUUAAAAUCCAAUUCGAGAGUCGAUCUAAGGCGGGGUCUAGAUCACGGGUUGAGAUGGUCAACCCGCGUUUACCAAAAAAAAUAUAAAAAAGGAAUCAAAGCAAUCUCGUUUCCACCAAAAAAAGAUUCAAACAAAAGUCAACGGGGUUUUGGCUUGUGUUUUAUCCUAGGUUACCUUUGAUUUUUGACCGAGUUAGAUCAUGUCAAUCAUUUCUCUAUUUUUUUUAACUCGAAUCUUUUCAAGUCCCGAGCCAACAGAACCUAAAUCAAUUUGUUUAUAACUAUAGUUAUUAUAAAAUUAUUAAUUUCAAGACUCAAUAUAAAUUAAAGCAAAAUAAAUAUUUAAUUAUUUUUUUAACAUAAAAUAAAAUAAAAUAAUUAAUUUCACCCGUAUUUAAAAUAAAAUAAAUAUUUUUAUAUUUUAUUAUGUUUUAUUAUGUUAUAUAUAUAUAAGAGCAAUACAGAAACAACCACGGGAAGCUCAAUUUGGGAUAGCCUUGUUGAGAAGGAUGGUGUGAACGUUGAUGAUGAUGAAUUCUGCAACGAAUUUAUAAUAAUAAAAAAAGCAGGUUCAGAACAACGUCAUUUUCAGGUUGUUGUGAUCAUCCAAAAAACUUUCGAAGACCAUAGUUUUAUGCUAAUUGCUCCGUUUAUCUGCAAUCUGUCUGUCUGUCUGUGUAUUUUACAAUGUCCUUGGUUGCUCUACUAUAUAUCUUUUAUAUCAGUUUUCUAAAACAAACCAUCUGUGUGUCUUUCUUUUCGUCUGUAAACCCUACCCUUUGAUUAUUACUCUGUUAAUGUUAGCAACCUACUCCUAACUCCUAUUUUGUUGUUGCCGAUCUUCUUCAAGGGGAACAUUGUUUGCUGUGCUGCUAAUUUUCAUUCCUUAAAUAAAUAUCUUAGCCCGCCUGUGUCUUUUGCAAUCUGUUGGAACAUUCAUUGUUUGGGUGACAAGGCAUCUGAUCAUCUGCUCUCUCUGUCUGUGAAUAUGAUGAAAUCUUUGAUUUGCUUGAGUGAAUAGGUGCUUUGUUCUGUUUUGCAUUCCUUUCCAGCCUCGCUUGACAUUUAAUUUAUGGAUUGAAUGAAGGAGAAAUAGUUCAGCUGGACUUAAAAUUAUGGGCUGAAUCUCUUGAAGCAAGCGUGCUUUGAGAAUAGAUCCUACAUUUUUUCCUUAAACAAUUCGAGGGUUCAAUAAAGGCUGUUAGAUAAUGCAUCCUCCAGACACAAGACAGAGGUCCUGCAGGACUACAUGCCAUGGAUAUAUUUCUUCAUGAUUAUGCGUGUAGGGGAAGCUUUGCGUCAUAGCUACAAGCUAGGGCAUCUGGAAAGAAAGCUAGAAGCAAAGAUCUAAGCGUUGCUUUCUUUAGUUAUAAACCACUCAACCAAGCACAGAGCUUACAUGCAGUUGAUGCUGGUAACUAUUAAUAAUAAAGUAACACAAAAAUGGUGUCUAAUUUAUUUGUUUAAAAAAAUUGCAUCAACCGCAAAGAAUUCAGCGACACUCUACCAAGCACAGAGCGUAUAUUACUUUUUGUUGAUCUCUACCUUCACAAUGUGGACAGUCACCCCAAUAAUGAAAGUCUAUUAUUUAUCAGUUCUAGAGCCUGUUUGAUCCUUGUUGUGCUGGAAUAUUAAACAUAUGAAAUUGUUUGGCAAUGAGCUAUAAUUAUGAUGCGUUGUUAGUAAAAUCACUAAGAUUUACUACUAUUUUUAUUUUAGACUUCAAUACAUCACAAAAUUAAAAAGAUUCAUUAAUUUAAUAUUUUUUUAAAAUAAAACAUAUAAUUUUAACAUAAAUUUAAAAAUAAAAACUAUCACACUCCCCGUUACUCCACGGAAAGCUCUUUGGUAGGGUUUCCCGGUGCUUUCACAUCAUACUGAAUCUUAUAGGAUGUUGGAUUCCAUCUGGAGAAAUCUGGAGAAAUCUCCAUAGAAGAUGCAGAUUUCUAGUCGUUGUCAUACUUUGGACAACAUUAGCACUCAAGGCAUGCAGCUGGGUAAGCGUGAUGGAAAGUGGUAGAUAUUGGUUUGGAAUCAUAGUUUUGAAAUCCGGACUGGCCCGACGGGUUGACCCGGCACCCGGCCGACCCGGGCCUGGAACCGGUCCGAGUCUAAGUAAAAACUCGCCGAGAAGUUGGCCUGGCAAAACCCGGGCGACCCGGACAAACCCGGCUGAGACCCAGCCUCUUUGUUUUUUUAUACAUACACAGCCGGGAAACGACGUCGUUCGUUUUGGCCUUUUAAAGUCAAAACGAUGCAGAUGAAGGAUGAAGGAUGCAAAAUUGCAGACAGAAUAACAAGAAAAAGCAAUUUCAAUCGCAUAGCUCCUGUGCCUGACUGCCCGUAAUACACCUCCAUCCCAAACACGACAUCCUCUUUGUAGUGAUCCCUGCUCGUUCCUGUAGAUUCCAUUGAAGACAGCAUCCCCGGUUUUGAUCAGAUCCUGCAUCAAGACAUGAUUGGAAAAGCCCCUCUUCAAAGUUCUGUGCGUGAAUAUCAGUGUUGUCAUUGAUGCAUGAUUGCUGUUGUUUUCUGUUCUGAUGCCCAUGUGUUCUCUCUCUCUCUUUAAGAUUUUCUUUUCCUUUUUAUUUUCUAUUCUCAAUUUAAAGAGAAUGCCUCUUUGCUGUUGAUUAAAAAAGAAUGUUUAUUUGUGAUUGAAAAGUUGAAAAGUGGAUUGAAAGCGGUUUGAAAGUUGGAAAGCGGAUUGACGAGAGAGGGAUAAGAGAGGGGAAUUGUAUUUAUUAAAGUUUUUAUUUGAUUUUUUUUGGGUUGACCCGGGUCAACCUGGAUCAAUCCAUCUGACCCGUGACCCGAUUAUUAGACCAGAUCGACCACCAAGUCAGGUUUCAAAACUAUGCUUGGAAUCUUAUAUUUUGUCUUGUUUAUGAAAAGAUGAGAUUACACGAGUGGAUGCAUGGUUUCUAGCAGUGCCUGUCAUUUUCUUCGAAAUGCAAUGCUCUUCCACUCAGCUGUCACUGCAAUGUAUCUCUAUUGAAGAUGCAGAUUUCUUGUCGUUGUCAUACUCUGCAUUGUUUUUUACACCCAUAAUAGCACACUUUUUUAUUUUUUGAGGCUCUUUUCCUUGCACAUCAAGAAACUUCAGUUGCUUUAUGUCACGCGAACAAUUUGCAGCCCCCUAUGCUGGAUUUUAUGCACCUAAUUUGAUUCUUGCUGUGUGAUUAUUAAUUUUUCAUUUUUUAUUUCCCAAUGCAUUAUUGUGAAGUGUGAGCCCAUCUCCAUCAACCAUGUUCAUUAGCAGUGUGAAAGAACAGAUGAUUGGGGGUUGGCUCUAGGUCAGCCAAACUAAUUUAUGUGUCGUUUUCAAUUCUUUCAAGGCCAAGUUGCACCAUCAUUUUGCCUUUUCAAGAAUAUUAUUUUGUUUUUAUUGUUCCAUAAUUACUUAAUACAUCUAGUUAUAAAUAAUUUAAAAUUUAUUUUUGUAAAUUAUUUUAGUUUAUUUUUUAUAAAAUUAUCUUAGUAUUAAAAAAAUAUCAUGAUAUUUAAUUGAUACUCAAUUUUACAAGCGUUAUAUUUGUUAUCUUAUAACUAAUAAAAAAUCAUUUUAAAAAAUAAAGUUUUUAAACACAGUAGAGUCCAUAACCUAAAUUAUAAAUUUGACAGAUUGAAUUGUGAAAUCUAAAUCGAUCUAAUCGAUCUAAUAUGUCGUAGUUUUAAAUUUUUGAAAAAGAGUUAUAUUGAAUUUUCCUUAAAGCUAAACCAUGUUUUUUUACCAAUCGUCUAGGUUGUCUUAAGACCUGCUAAGUUGACUAGUUUAUAUUGAAUUAAUUUCUAUACAGUUUAAUUUUAAACUUAAAUUAUAUAAAGAAUUAGACAAAAAAAAUUUAUAAUUAACUCAUUAAACCAAAUUUAAUAACAAUAAUAAUUGUAUUUUUAUGUCCUGAAUAUUUAUUUUACGUUCAAAGAAUCCUGAUUCGAGAGCAUGAUGGUGUAAGCUAGCCUCUGAGAUGUGGCAAUUUCCAUAGAGAAGAACUGCUUGAUGAAAUUAUUAUGCCAUUAAACCUCACAUACCUAAUUUUAAGCCUAAUUCAUCUUGUUUGGUUACAUCAAAGCUGGCUUCCCUUUUUCCAGAAAUUUCUUGCGAACUGAGAAAUUGAGUAUGGAUUACAUUUUGGAUCUUUUUUCCACAUCAUCUAGUCUUCAGAUACAGUUCUUAUCCUUUUGACCUAACACAAAAAUUAAUUGAAGGAUUUGAUCUCCCCAUCACUCCACCAUCAGCUCUUGCCCAUUAUUUUAGGACAAAAUAUGGAACAUAAUAAACACCAAGGAAAAGAUGGAUGCUACAAGGAUUUGUUACCACACAACAUAAAACUGGAAAACCUCAUCAUCUAGGGUUCCAGAUCAUUAAAAUAAGUUGACUAGCAACUACUCCUAGCUGGACUUUAAUGGCAGCCAUCCAUAUCAUGGAAACAAUGUCAUUUUCUAAUGGCCGUGUUUUAAGAUUCUGUCCUGGUAAUUUCGACAGUGUAAACGGCUCAGAUUGGUGCAGAGGCAAGUUGAUACUCAUUUGCUGAUUACCUAGCAUGUGAAUUUGAAUGCUUGCAGGAAGGCAAAGAACCAUUCAAGUCUCUUUCAAGCUUUGAUGUACAAGAACUUUGCUGAACUCAUGAAAGCUCUAUUUGAUUACAGUUUGCUUUCACAGUUUACAUCCAAAUCAACAUGCUUGUCCCUUUGAGGGUAAGAAAAGAAUGACUUCAACUUUUCAGGUUGUAGUGAAGCAGAAGGGAAGAUCUAAUUAAAUCUGUCGCAGGACAUUACCAUUCAAUAAUUCUACGAACAGUUUUCUUUUUGUAAUACAGCAUGAAUUACUUUGUAUUAACGAGUAAUUUGCUUUUGAUUACAUAUUUACAUUACAUCUAAAUUUUGUUUUUAACUUUCUUUAUUUGUAGAGAUUGUUAUCAGCUUGUCAUUGAAAGCUUUGAACUUCACUUCAAAAUAUAGCAGCUUUAAGCCUUCUCUUCAACUCCUUCCUGCAGAAAAACAAAAAUGAAUGACUCUUGGGACCUUUUUCCAAAACCCUCCUCUGGUUUUAGAUUCUUGAGUCCGUGUUAAAGUUUGUUUACCUCGUGAGUUCCCUAUCAAUGCUUGAAGCAGAUAACAGUCCCCUAUUCUCUUCAGCCCUCCUUAGAAGGUAAGGGAUAACCAUCUCAAUAGACCCGUAUGGCGUGUAUUUGCUAACCAGAAAACCUGCAUUGCUUAAACCAAAUGAAAGCGCAUCUGACAUUCCAUAUAGCUGUGCAAACUCAAGCUUUUGGUUCCUCUUCUCAAUCCCCAAGUCUAUUGCCUUCGUCGCUGCCAAUCUUCCUAUACAAUGUACACAGAACCCUGUAUCAAAUCCAAAGGCAAUGCCGAUGGCUAUAAUUAAUCACACAUGAGUCUCCUUCAUCUCUUUACCUGAUUCAACAUUAUGUGUUGCAAGAAUGACUGCAUUUGAGCUAUUAGCGAUCUUUUCAAGCAUGAAAGAAACACAAUCAUUGUAGCAAGCAUGUGUCUCUUGAAUACUAUUGUGAAUUGGAGAUUCAUAGCCUAACGAAGAGGCUGUUUUUCUUUCACUUGACAUAUAAGCGCCCCUCACUAACUUAAUCCCCAUAGGAACUCCCAUCUUGUCAGCGGCUUUUGUUGCAAGUAACAACCUCUCUUUUGCGUCUUUCAAGUAGGCUUGAAUUGUACCAUACACAAUGGGAUUAUCAUUUUUGUUGUACUUGAUUGCUGUCAAAUACGUCAAGUAAUCAAUGGCAGGUUGAACUGAUAUAUGCUCUGCAUCCACCGUCAACGGGAUAUUGACCUGGACACAUUUUUCACAUAGUUUCCACAAUCUCUCCUGGCCUAAUUGGAGAUCAUUCUCUUCUUGUGGGGUUAAUGGUUCUGGUUUUUUAAGUGUAUGAUACAAAGGGCUAGAAUCAGAAAAAAUUGGAAAACUGUUCUGUUUCCAUGGAAGGUUGAAGGAAGGAUCUCUUUGUUGCCACCUUAACAAAUCACUAACUCUCUCUAACAAGCUUAAGGGGCACAUUGCUGUGACCUUUGCCACCACACUGCUCACCUGAUGCGAGUAAAAAAAAACAUAAAAUUAGCCUACAAUAUUAGAGUCGGUUUCUUUCUGCCAAAAUCAAAGAAAGACAAAACAAACUCGAUAAGAUCCGCGAAAGCUUGCCCGAGGACACCCCGCCCCUAAAACCAAAAGAAAGAAGUGUUCUUGUAGCUAGUGUGUUCAAUUUCUGAUGGGGCACCUCAACCAUGAAAAGGACAGUCAUUGUUUCUCAUUCUGUCACUUUCUGUGAUGCAUAUAUUGCCAAACUCUUAUGGUCAAUGGUGUGCAAUAUGACCAAUGGAGUCCAAUUGGACACGACUGCUUGCACAUGAUCAACUUGAUCAAGGAUUCUACUCGCAUCCUAAGCUGUAAAACUAACAUACACAGCAGGAUCCAUAUCUAAUCUCUAAAGCAAUUUCAAGAGAAACAGAACAGAGACCCGAGAUCCUUGAAAACUAAUUAAAGAAAGAGCAAAUUUAACUUGAUAAACAGAAAAAAAAAUGGGGCUAAUCAUGGCUAAUUGAGGAAGACAUAAAUCUUACAGAAGAUGGAGGAAGAGACAUGGCUAAUUGAACAGAAUCAAGAAACCCUUUCAGAUUCUGAUCACAAGCAUCAUUAUUACUUGUAUAUUCAACAGCAAAAUCCAACAUUACUCUCAAACCGGCUUCAUUAACUCUCUCAAAACACCUUCUGGCCUCAACAACAUCUUCUCCAGCACAAAAGUGUUUAAAGAACGUAUGCCUUACCGUCUUUAACACAACAUCACGUACAAUAUUAUCUGUCUCCAUAAUCCUGGAAUUCAUAACCCACAUCCCAAAGUCAACCAGAGGACCUAUAGAAACCAAGUGAAGAAUUGAAGAUGCGUGCAAGAGUUUGGUGGUUGGCAAAUUUGAGAAAAGUUUUUGAUGGUCAUUAAAGUCUAGAAUGGAUGGUUUUGCAUGUUCUUGAAUGAUAGUGGGAGGUUCUUGGAUAGGGGGUUCGGGUUUUUCAGCCAAAUUUAGAGGAGAGGCGGCGGCGGCUUUGGAGGAGGAGGAGGAGGAGGUGUUAAGAGACCUUGUGAUGAAGAAACGGAGGUUUUGGAGUUGUUUUGGCGGGAGAACUUUGGUGGCCAUGAAAGGUGGGAGAGAUCUCAGGCUUUCUUUUUUCGAAGUCCUGGGAUACGGAGGAUUAUAUAGGAAUUGUAUUUUUACUGCAAUUUAUGACUUUAUAAAAAAGGUGAAAAUUGAUUUAAAAAAUAAAUAUUUCCAGUUUUUUUAUUUUAGUAAAUAUUUUUACUGCAAGAGUCAUAUUGGUAGAUGUAGAUAAACUUAUUCGUAAUUUCCGAUCCUCUUGGACGUGUCUUGUCUCAUGGGCCGUAAUAUAUUUGGAAUUAUGGUUAAUUAUUUAAAGUGUUUUUUAUUUUAUUUUAUUUUUUAAAAAUUAUUUUUAACAUUAGCACAUUAAAAUAUAUGAAAAUAUAAAAAUAAAUUUUAUUUUAAAUAAAAAAAUUUAAAAUUUUUAAAAAGCGUUCCAAACUAGGGAUGAGUAAAAAAACCGAAAAAUCGAUUAAACCAAGAAAACUGAAAAAAAAAACCGAAAAAACAAAACCGUGAAAAAAAACCAAUUAAACCGAUUAAAAUUUUGAAAAAACCAACCAAUUCGGUUUGGUUUAACCGAAACAACAAAACCGAACUGAACCCAAACCGAAAAAAACCGAGCCGAACCGAGUUUGAACCAGUUUUUUUCAAAAUAACUUAACCAAACCGAAACCGGUUGGUUUGAACUAGUUUUGGUUUUUUUUAAAAAAACCGGUUUGGUUAUUUUUUUGAUAAAAACCAAACCGAACUGAAAAUGAUCACCUCUAUUCCAAACACACCCUAAUACUAACAAGGCCAUAAUGUGUAUGCUGACAGUCUACCCAAAGAAUAAUAAUGCUAACCCUGAAAGGUAUAACUCAACUGAUCAGACUCUGUGUUUGCUCCCUAGAGAUCACCAGUUCGAGUCCCACAAAUAUCAGGGCCACUAGAGGCUUACAUGAUCGUUAAUUUCAGGACCCGUGAGAUUAGUUAAAGUGCAUGCAAGCUCGUCCGAGCAAUCACGUUAAUCUAAACAAAAUAAUGCUGCAAAAUAUUAAAAGAGAAUAUACCAUACAUUCAGAUUAUAAAUAUUUUUUUUCUUCAGUUUUAUUUAGAUUCUGCUUUCAAAUACAUCUUUACUAGUGACAAAGCCUUUUUUUUUCUUCAACAAAUAUUUACUUAGAGAGAAAGCUAUUCUUCUAAUAAAAUACCUAAACGUAUUUAGUAGAUGUGAUAUAGAUUUAAAAUUUGAAUUAGAAAAAACAUUCCUUUUUUGCACUAAUUUUUAAGGGAAAUGUAUUAAUUGGAUUUAAUACUUGAAUUAGAAAACAAAAUUUGAAUUUAUAUCUUUAUUAAAAUCUUCUAGGUUUCUGUUCUAUCUUGAAACCCUAACCAAAUUUAACCUUAAUGGUUGCCAGCACCAUUAUUAAAGGGAAGAUAUGCCGACACUUCUGUCAAAUUGCACGAACAUCCACUGCUUAGGAAUAAAUUCUGACGAGACAUUAGCUUCAUUAUGCUUUUGCAUGUUAGGCGGAAAGUAAACCACUAGACACGAUGCAGCAAAUGCAUGGAACUUGUCAAAAAAAGGCGAUUCUUCAAUGGUGCUCUUGAUA
rnacentral:lncRNA from 1 species